UUCUUUGCAGUUGGAAGGAAAUACCCAAUUCUAAAGGGCAAACCCUAGGUGAACUAGCGAUUUGUGGCUCAAAAAUUCGACCCACAUCUACCAUCGCCAGAACCCAUCAAAGAAGAUGCUAUUACAUAAGUUGUUUGGGGAAGAACAAGGACAUUUGUUAUUGUUGUAAGAAGCACCGACACCAAUUUUCAGAUUGCCCAUUGAAGCAACGAUGUCUAGAUUGUGGGUCGAGGUUCAUGAAAUGUAUGGAGGUCGAGAAGAAUACUAGAAACAUAUUAUAACUGUUCUUAUGUUACACAAGAGAUUGUGGAAUUUUUUAUUGGAAUGAUGAUUCGUCAUCGAGGGCAAAACCGAUGCAAUUUUAAGGAGAAGAUUUGUCAUCCAUGUUCAAGACAUUUGCUCAAAUAACUAAAGAAAAAGACAUGAAGAUAUCAUUGAACAUAACUAUGCGUAAGGGAAAAUGAUCUAUAUAAGGUGUGUUUGUCAUUUUUAUGUUUGUGUAGUAGGCACCAACUUCGAUUUAAAUUAUGUUUGGUGUAUGUUGUUGGCCACAUGGAAUGUGGGCGUGCAUUAAUCCUUUAAGUGGGCAUACAUUCAAAGAUGCCAACUGGGAAACUUGUAUGCUGAAUAUCAAGUGACAUUUUUGCUUAAUUUGUAAUAUGAACUGUAUUUUAUAUUCUAUUCAGUGACUAUCUUAAGCUUAA